ACAAAUUGGUUGAUUCCCGACGUCUCUCUCUCUCCUACAGGUGUGUAAGGCUGAGAUAGCAGUCCGCCAGCUCACAGUAGACUAUGUCAACCAGUCGGAGUUACAGACGAGCAGAGGGCGAUAUGAACACCAAGAUUAUGCUGAUGAGCUGGGCGGUCUUAACCAUCGCUGGCUCAGUCUACAGGGCACCAUCAACAACCAGGUGAGAACUCAAUCGGGAAAAGAGAAAAUAGCUUACAGAACCUCAACCUAUGGAUAGUCUUUAAUAUAAAAUAUCAACGUGAUGCUCAACCCCUUCGAUUUUUAAAGCCUUUUUGUAACAAAUCCUAGGCUAUUUUAAGAGAAUCAAUCCAUCCUAUUGAUGAUUUGAUCCUAUAGCUAUUGGUAAUUUUUAGUGACACCUCCUGUUUUAUAGCACCAAUCAUUCCCACUGAUUAUGAUUUGAUCCCAUAUCUAUUGACUUUCCCUCUGCAGAUCCAGGAUGUUGAACAGGAGCUGAUGAUGUGCACAGAGAGAGAGGUCAGACUGCAGCACCACCACACCUGGCUCACCAGUCAGAGAGAGUGGAUGGGCUCAGCCCAGAGGCCUGUCAGUCACUCUGAGGUGGAGAAGAGCUUAAAAACCUGUGAGGGUCUGGAGGAGAAACUCUGGCUAAAUUAUACAGCACUUCAAGAGUUGAGAGAGAAACACCACACAGGAAAAGAGGAUGGCACCUGUGCCUUCAUCACUCAGACAGAUGAUGUCAUUAAGGCCUGUACAGCCCUCAGUCAAGAGGUAAGCUCAGGGGAAUGAUGGCAGUUGCUUAGCAAAUACAUGUAUUCACUGCAUGGGGACUAGUUGUAAAAACCUUCAAAUUGUAGGGUGUAGUGGCUCCUAUUUUGACUCAUUGUUUCCCCCUCCAGAACCCAGCUGUGCGACAGAGACUGAAACAGGUAUUGGAGCUGUGGGCUGGGUUUGAGAAAGGACUGAAUGAUGCAACACUGGACACAGUGAAGACCGGCCAGGCUAUGGAAUACAGCUGCUUCCCUCAGCUUUCUCUCCAGGCCCUGCAAGGACUCCAUGAAAAGCUCCAGGUAGGUACUACAGUAUACCCAUCAAGUUUGAUUUGCAGUGGCGAUUUUAGCAUGUAAAUCUUAGUGGGGCAUGCCAGCAAAGUCACUACACAAACACAGCACAACACUAAACAAUACAUUAAUUGCACUAUAACGGUGACAAAUGGUGCCCACAAACUGUUAGGGCCUACAUAAAGCUGUCCCAACAGCAGAGUCCCAACAGCAGUCCCAACACCUUACCACUGCUACACCUGGCUAUCAGCGGAG
rnacentral:lncRNA from 1 species